GGGUUGUGAGGUUAAGCGACUAAGCGUACACGGUGGAUGCCCUGGCAGUCAGAGGCGAUGAAGGACGUGCUAAUCUGCGAAAAGCGUCGGUAAGGUGAUAUGAACCGUUAUAACCGGCGAUGUCCGAAUGGGGAAACCCAGUGCAAUUCGUUGCACUAUCGUUAACUGAAUACAUAGGUUAACGAGGCGAACCGGGGGAACUGAAACAUCUAAGUACCCCGAGGAAAAGAAAUCAACCGAGAUUCCCCCAGUAGCGGCGAGCGAACGGGGAGCAGCCCAGAGUCUGAAUCAGCUUGUGUGUUAGUGGAACGGUCUGGAAAGUCCGACGGUACAGGGUGAUAGUCCCGUACACCAAAAUGCACAGGUUGUGAACUCGAAGAGUAGGGCGGGACACGUGGUAUCCUGUCUGAAUAUGGGGGGACCAUCCUCCAAGGCUAAAUACUCCUGACUGACCGAUAGUGAACCAGUACCGUGAGGGAAAGGCGAAAAGAACCCCGGCGAGGGGAGUGAAAAAGAACCUGAAACCGUGUACGUACAAGCAGUGGGAGCACCUUCGGGUGUGACUGCGUACCUUUUGUAUAAUGGGUCAGCGACUUAUAUUCUGUAGCAAGGUUAACCGUAUAGGGGAGCCGCAGGGAAACCGAGUCUUAACUGGGCGUUAAGUUGCAGGGUAUAGACCCGAAACCCGGUGAUCUAGCCAUGGGCAGGUUGAAGGUUGGGUAACACUAACUGGAGGACCGAACCGACUAAUGUUGAAAAAUUAGCGGAUGACUUGUGGCUGGGGGUGAAAGGCCAAUCAAACCGGGAGAUAGCUGGUUCUCCCCGAAAGCUAUUUAGGUAGCGCCUCGUGAACUCAUCUUCGGGGGUAGAGCACUGUUUCGGCUAGGGGGUCAUCCCGACUUACCAACCCGAUGCAAACUACGAAUACCGAAGAAUGUUAUCACGGGAGACACACGGCGGGUGCUAACGUCCGUCGUGAAGAGGGAAACAACCCAGACCGCCAGCUAAGGUCCCAAAGUCAUGGUUAAGUGGGAAACGAUGUGGGAAGGCACAGACAGCCAGGAUGUUGGCUUAGAAGCAGCCAUCAUUUAAAGAAAGCGUAAUAGCUCACUGGUCGAGUCGGCCUGCGCGGAAGAUGUAACGGGGCUAAACCAUGCACCGAAGCUGCGGCAGCGACACUAUGUGUUGUUGGGUAGGGGAGCGUUCUGUAAGCCUGCGAAGGUGACCUGUGAGGGUUGCUGGAGGUAUCAGAAGUGCGAAUGCUGACAUAAGUAACGAUAAAGCGGGUGAAAAGCCCGCUCGCCGGAAGACCAAGGGUUCCUGUCCAACGUUAAUCGGGGCAGGGUGAGUCGACCCCUAAGGCGAGGCCGAAAGGCGUAGUCGAUGGGAAACAGGUUAAUAUUCCUGUACUUGGUGUUACUGCGAAGGGGGG
rnacentral:rRNA from 1 species